UACGUAGGGUGCAAGCGUUGUCCGGAAUUAUUGGGCGUAAAGAGCUCGUAGGCGGUCUGUCGCGUCGGCUGUGAAAACCCGGAGCUCAACUCCGGGCCUGCAGUCGAUACGGGCAAACUGGAGUGUUGCAGGGGAGACUGGAAUUCCUGGUGUAGCGGGGAAAUGCGCAGAUAUCAGGAGGAACACCGGUGGCGAAGGCGGGUCUCUGGGCAACAACUGACGCUGAGGAGCGAAAGCGUGGGGAGCGAACAGG
rnacentral:rRNA from 1 species